rnacentral:rRNA from 1 species
UACGUAGGGUGCGAGCGUUGUCCGGAAUUACUGGGCGUAAAGAGCUCGUAGGUGGUUUGUCGCGUUGUUCGUGAAAACCGGGGGCUUAACCCUCGGCGUGCGGGCGAUACGGGCAGACUUGAGUACUGCAGGGGAGACUGGAAUUCCUGGUGUAGCGGUGAAAUGCGCAGAUAUCAGGAGGAACACCGGUGGCGAAGGCGGUGGUCUGGGCCGGAACUGACGCUGAGGAGCGAAAGCGUGGGGAGCGAACAGG